GAUGAACGCUGGCGGCGUGCCUAAUACAUGCAAGUCGAGCGAACAGACGAGGAGCUUACUCCUCUGACGUUAGCGGCGGACGGGUGAGUAACACGUGGAUAACCUACCUAUAAGACUGGGAUAACUUCGGGAAACCGGAGCUAAUACCGGAUAAUAUAUUGAACCGCAUGGUUCAAUAGUGAAAGACGGUUUUGCUGUCACUUAUAGAUGGAUCCGCGCCGCAUUAGCUAGUUGGUAAGGUAACGGCUUACCAAGGCGACGAUGCGUAGCCGACCUGAGAGGGUGAUCGGCCACACUGGAACUGAGACACGGUCCAGACUCCUACGGGAGGCAGCAGUAGGGAAUCUUCCGCAAUGGGCGAAAGCCUGAUGGAGCAACGCCGCGUGAGUGAUGAAGGUCUUCGGAUCGUAAAACUCUGUUAUUAGGGAAGAACAAAUGUGUAAGUAACUAUGCACGUCUUGACGGUACCUAAUCAGAAAGCCACGGCUAACUACGUG
rnacentral:rRNA from 1 species